rnacentral:lncRNA from 1 species
AAGAAAUGUGAUAAAAAUUAUUUUACGAGCCUAGGGGUAAUUUGGUAAUUUUGGCAAAAUAUAAGGGCAAAAUUGUAAAAAUUACCCAAUUGUGUCAAUUGACUAAUUUGAUUAGUACAUUAUUUUAAUAAGUUGAAUGUGAUAUUUUAGAUGAUGAAAAUCGAAAUUUGGACCUAGAACGGAAAGAAAUCGAUUAAGAGAUAAUUACGUCUUUUUUUUCACCUUUAUGGUAUCGAGGUAAGUUUAUGUGUAAAUAAUGUAGCAUAAUUGUUAUUUUUAAGUUAUUGAUGUUAAAUAUAUAAUAUACUGAUUUUUAUCAUAAAAUAUAUGCUUUGUGGUUAUUAUCGAAUAAAAUACAAGAUAUGUGUAUUAUCUGUUAAAUAUAAAGUGCUACCGAGUAUUGGUUUCAAUAUUUUACGAAAGAUGGCAAGGAGAUGUGUUCGAGGAAAAUCUCGUUUGAACCUUAGGAAUAGAUUAAGAUAUAAGUAACAUGUCACUAGGAUGGUUGAGCAUCCGAACUCGUUGAGUUGAGUCCAAGUUCACUUAUGGGCGGGUUGAAUGGUAGCUUGGCUACAUAUGUGGCACUUAUGUGCAAACUUUCUAUGUAUCCGAAUUAUAUUCCGAUAUGUUCAACGGGUAAAAUUCUACUCAAAUGGAGCAAUACUCGAGAUGAAAGAGACGUAUUGGUAAAUGUUGUGAAAUAGACGUAAUUAUACAAACGAUAUAACAACAAUACGGUAACAUGAUAAAUAAAAAUUUGAUAUGAAUGUCUCAGUGAUGAUUAUACAAACGAUAUUGUAUUAAUUUUGUGAACAAUGAUCAUGAAUGAGUAAUUUAGCCUUGACAGAUUUGAGUUACUGCAGUAGUGUAACUUUAAAAGUACACUAAAAAUAGUAGAAAAUGAGUUAAGAGGUAGAAUAAAAUAUAGGAUUAAAGCUUAAUGAGUCUAUUUUCACAUGAAAGAAACAGGGGAAGAAAAAGAUUCCAUAUUGUAUGAUAUUUGAAUUCUUGUGAAACAUGGUCUGAAUGAAUUCGAAAUCCCCUGUUCUGACUUUAGAAAUUCACCAAAAAUUGUACAAAAUUUAUUAAGAAUCAUACCUUACAUGCAUGGAUUCCUUAUUGAGUCUAUUUUUAGAAGAAAUAAACGCCAUGGUCGUUGAAAUUUUGUAUAGGGAGAAAUUCAGUUUGUAGUGCACAGGGGUCAGAGUGGUCAUACCCUGAAACAGGGGAGACUUUAACUAAUAAAUUAUACUAAUUGGCCCAACCAAAAAUUCUAAAAAAAAUUAGUAAGUAGACAUAUGAGUUUAGUUUCAAGAUAAAUAGACGAGAACAUUAUUUGAGUCUUGUACUAUGAGAUAAUUGAACUUUAGUACAGAAGGGUCGGAACUGUCAGACAGUGAAUCAAGGGUAACUUUGACGAAUAAACUGUACUAUUUGGCUAAACCAAAAAAUUUAAAAAUUUUAUGGAAGAAAGAAAAAUAAGUCUAGUUUCAGGAAAAAUUAACGAAACUUAAUUCAGAGUUUCGUAGCUCCAGAUAUAAAUAAUUUAGUGACCGUUGCUCAGAAAGACAGCUUGUAGUGAACUUGAGAAUAUAUUGUAAACAUUAAUAAAACAAGUUAAUGAGUGCUUAUUGUUUUCAUAUGAACUUACUAAGCGAAAGCUUACCCCCCUCUUCUUUCCCAUGUUUUCUAAAGUUUCCAGGUUAUCUCGGGUUGGAGGCCGUUAGAGAUAUUAUCACACUGUCAAGCUAACACUAUUGGUGUAGUGAUUUCAAGUACUUUGGCCGUUAGAGUAUGUGAUAUGACUUUAACUAUAUGUGUUAGGCCUAUUUUUAUUAUGGGGUUGUAAAUCUAUUUUAAUUAUGCAUGCAUGUGCUAUGGUAUUAUGUGAUGAGUUUAUAAUGAUUAUAGUAUGAAUGUGAUAAAGAUGUGAGUAAAAUCUAUGAUAUCUAUUGCAUGUGAAAUUGCCAUAAUCAUGACAUGUUAAGAAUGUUUAAAUACCUAAUUUUGCCAUGUUGUAUGUUAUUGUAUAAGUAUGCGUGUAUCUAUUGUGAAUGUGACAAAAUGGCUUGGAAAAUAACCUUGUAUUUGCCCAGGUUUUUGGACGCAGGUUUGGGACAUGGGCGUGUACUCUAUACCCACACGGGCAUAUGAAGCCUUGAUGCAAGAGAUUUUCUAAGUUUUUUAUGAGUUCUCGAUUGGGUCUCGAACCACUUCAGAUGUAUGUUUUGGGCCACGUAAGCCCGUAUAUGGGACAAAUUGUGAAAAUAAAAGUUUUUAAUUAUUUGAGAUUUCAUGACCCUAUUUAGUAUUGAACUGUUAGUAAAAGUCAGGUAACACCUCGAACCCCGUCCCAACGUCGAAUGCAGGUGAAGGGUGUUACAUUCAUGGCUUUAAAGUUGAACAUGAGUAAGGCAUAUGACAAAGUGGAGUGGCCUUUUAUUAGAGAAAUGAUGGCUAGGACGGGUUUUGAAAACAGGCUCAUUAGUCUUAUCCUCCAUUGUGUCAAUUCUGUCCAGUACUCAAUUUUAAUUAAAAGGGAGGAAGGGUCCAAUUUCUGGGCUUCUAGGGGUUUGCGCCAAGGGGAUCCGUUGAGUCCCUAUUUAUUUCUUUUUUGUGAAGAAAGGCAUUCAGCAUUAAUGAGACUUGCAAAAUAGGAAGGCAAAUUUUUUUGUGCUAAGGUCUGUCGAUCAACUCCACCUAUCACCCAUCUCAUGUUCGUCGAUGAUUGUAUUCUAUUUGGAGAAACUUCAAGAAGGGGAAUUUUUCUGCUGAAAGAUAUUCUUGAGAAGUAUGAGGAUUGUUCGGGGCAGUGCGUAAACUUUGAAAAGUCAACUACGUUUUUCAGUUCAAAUGUGAAUGACCAAGAUAAGAAUUUGGUUUUUCAAAUUCUUAACGUGCGAUGCUCGACGAAUCCUGAGAGAUACCUUGGUCUUCCAAAUAUGGUGGGGCGAAAACAAAAGUUGGCUUUCCAAAAUCUGAAAGAUCGUUUAAAGCAAAGGGUUAAUAGUUGGAGCUUAAGACAUAUUUCACAAGGAGGCCGAGAGGUUUUUAUAAAGGCUGUUUUACAAGCUAUUCCUACUUACACAAUGGCUUGGUUCCUAUUGCCAAAAUCUUUGUGCAUGGAAUUGGAAAAUAUCAUGGGGGCAUUUUGGUGGAGGAAAAAUCAGGGAAAGCGAGGCAUGCAUUGGUGCGAUUGGAAGUCUUUGUGCGCACUAAAGGAAGACAGAGGUAUGGGUUUUCGUAAUUUAAAUUAUUUUAAUAUUGCUUUAUUGGCCAAACAGGGUUGGCGUUUAUUACGUAAUUCUAAUUCUUUACUAGCGCGUACUUUGAAAGCCAAAUAUUUUAAGGAGUCUGAUUUUUUAAACUCAAGGUUGGGAAAGUUACCUUCCUUUACCUGGCAGAGUAUUUCGGCGGCCAAGGGCCUACUUCUGAAGGGGUUGGGCUGGAGGAUUGGAAAUGGAAAACAUGUCUCCAUUUGGGAAGACGCAUGGAUCCCUGGGAAUGAGGAUUUCCGAAUUCAGCAUACAUCUGUUAAUAUGAGCUUAUUAAAAGUUGCUGAUUUAAUCGAGGCAAAUGAUAGAAAGUGGAAAUCUGAGCUGAUUUGUAAUACCUUUUCAGAGCAGGAAGCGGAGCGGAUUCUAUACAUUCCUCUGUCGUUGAACGAGAAUGAUGACCUUAUUAUCUGGCGGGGUGAGCCGACUGGGGAAUAUUCGGUACGGAGUGGCCAUAAACUUCUCUUACACAAUGAUCAGAAUGACUUACAGACAAAUUACAAACAAUUUUACAAAAAGCUAUGGAACUUAGAUCUACCCUCUAAAAUAAAGAUUACAGCUUGGCGUGUUUCACGCAAUUUUUUGCCUACUUUCAGUAACCUACAAUAUCGGAGACUGAGGGGAUCUGCUUCUUGUAGUAGGUGCCAAAACGGUGUGGAGUCGAGGGAACAUUUAUUCCAUGAAUGUCUUAAAGCAAAGGAAACAUGGGAGAAUUUGGGUAUCAGUUGGCCUAUUCCGGAAGAAAAUAAUAAUUUUAGGGACUGGUUACAGCUUAUUUUCCAAUCAAGGUCUACGGUUUUUUGCAGAGUUAUAGUAUGUACUCUAUGGGCGAUUUGGACAUCCAGAAAUAAAUUUAUCCACGAAGGUGAAGUUAAAACGGGUUCACAAAUUCCUGACUUUGUUAAAAAUUUUAUGUUGGAAUUGGAUGGGCUGAAAUCGUCAGUACCUGUAGAACAUCUCUGUGUGGGUGGUUGGGUUGCUCCGAUCGGAAUGAGGCUGAAAAUUAAUUUUGACGCUGCUUUCAACAAACAUAAGAAGGAAUCGUGCUCUGGUUUAGUUAUCCGGAAUAAUAAAGCGCAGAUUAUUGUUUCUAAAAUAGUUAUGAACUCGAACAUACCAUCAGCCUUUGCUGCUGAAGCGGUGGCGUGUCUUCAGGCGCUGCAACUUUGUUUAUAUCUUGGCUUGAGGGAGGUGGAUGUGUUUUCCUUUUUACAAACAGGGAUGUUAACAAAGUUGCGCAUCUCUUUGCAUCAGAAGGAAUAAGAAGGAGAGAGUCAACUUAUCUGGUAAAUCAGGUAUUUUCUGUCGCGGCGAAAAUGGUGGCUGAGGAUCAACGGAAGACAGAGAGCAUGAGAGAACUGAGGAGUCGGAGGGUAGGAGAUGAAGAAGAAAAUGUUUGUUUGAAUCUAUCUGUGGAAGAUCUUUCAGGAAGGAGGGUGUAAUCAAUGAAGUUGUUGGUUUUUGAAACGGUCAGUGGGUAAUUAAUUGUUGGCAUUUAAUUUCUGACCCUGCUUAUCACGCGUUUUGAUGUUUUUCAAGAGGGGUUUCUUUUGGUUGGUUUCCAGCUGGAGUAGAAGGCUUUAAAGCUCCCUUUUGUCAGUUUUACUGGUUAUAUGUUUUGGGCUAAUUUUUCUUUUAUUUUUGGACUUGCUGCUUUGUUCUUCCGUGGGUUUUUCUUUCUUAUUUUGUUAUCAUGUUUUUGCUUGGUGUUGAGCUGGGUUUGGAGUCUCUUGGGCUUUUCCUGAUUUUGGUAUGAGUGGUUUUUUUGGUUGUUUGGUCUUGUUCUGUUUUGUUUUUUUUAUGUAUUAGCCUUUGUUCAAUAUAACCAGUGAGUAUUUAUUUAAAAAAAUAAUAAUCUUAAAAUUUUGAGUUUUGUUUGUGGAAAUUAUGUGUAACUAAAUUAAUUUAAAUUGAAUUAAUUAUUCAAUUAAGUAUUUAUAAGAUUGAGCAUUUAACUCGAUUUAAUAACUAUAAUAAUUUAUUCCAAUGUUAACAUUCUAAUAUGAUUGUAAUUUAUAACUUAAAAA